GCACCCUUGGUGUAUGGAAACACACAUCGUACAGUUGAUACCUGUACAAUUCCCAAUUAAUCAAGAUGAGUCCGGGGUUUGAAUCCCCGAGGGUGCA